ACCACAUCUUCUUCAAUGAUGUCCCAGCAUGAUUGGUAGAAAGCUCCAGUGAAACCGUCUGGACCGCCUGCUGAAUCCCCAUUCAACCCCAUUACUGCUUUCUUCACUUCCUCAUUCGAAGGUAAGGCCAUCAAUCUCUCAUGUUGACCAGGAUCUAUCAUUGGAGGUACAUGUUUUAAAAUAUCAAAAUCAUUGGGAAAAGACCUCUCAGAAAAUAAAUCCUUGUAAAAUUUACAACUUCCUCUGCUAUUUUGUGAUCUUCUUCAAUCCAAUUACCAUCACUAUCCUGGAUUCUUGAUAACUUUAGUCUUUUCCUUCUCCCAUUAACCUGGGCAUGAAAAAAUUUUGUGUUUCUAUCACCAUCUUUAAACCACAAC
rnacentral:lncRNA from 1 species